AAGCCUUGUAUAAUGGAGAGGGUUACCUUUAGAAGAGGCCACUUGGGAAAAUACCCGGGAAUUACUUGACAGAUUUGCUGCUACCAACCUUGAGGACAAGGUUUCUCUUCAUGGGGAGGGUAAUGUUACGAUUCGAAGAUCACAAAGAGUGCCUAAGAAUAGAUAUAUGGAAUAAGUGGAUCUGCCAACGUGGACUUUUCUAUUGCCUAGUAUAUUUUCUUUUGUUAUUUCCUUUUAUUAGAGCAGGUAGUAUUCCC
rnacentral:lncRNA from 1 species